AGCGAACGCUGGCGGCAGGCCUAACACAUGCAAGUCGAACGAACUCUUCGGAGUUAGUGGCGGACGGGUGAGUAACACGUGGGAACGUGCCUUUUGGUUCGGAAUAAUUCAGGGAAACUUGUGCUAAUACCGAAUGUGCCCUUCGGGGGAAAGAUUUAUCGCCAUUAGAGCGGCCCGCGUCUGAUUAGCUAGUUGGUGAGGUAACGGCUCACCAAGGCGACGAUCAGUAGCUGGUCUGAGAGGAUGACCAGCCACACUGGGACUGAGACACGGCCCAGACUCCUACGGGAGGCAGCAGUGGGGAAUCUUGCGCAAUGGGCGAAAGCCUGACGCAGCCAUGCCGCGUGAAUGAUGAAGGUCUUAGGACUGUAAAAUUCUUUCACCGGGGACGAUAAUGACGGUACCCGGAGAAGAAGCCCCGGCUAACUUCGUG
rnacentral:rRNA from 1 species